rnacentral:rRNA from 1 species
UACGUAGGUGGCAAGCGUUGUCCGGAUUUACUGGGCGUAAAGAGCGCGCAGGCGGUUGAUUAAGUCGAAUGUGAAAGCCCCCGGCUCAACCGGGGAGGGUCGGCGUGGACUGCCGUGCUUGAGGGCGGCAGGGGUCGGUGGAAUGCCCGGUGUAGUGGUGAAAUGCGUAGAGAUCCGGAAGAACACCAGUGGCGAAGGCGGCCUGCUGGGCAGUUGCUGACGCUGAGGCGCGACAGCGUGGGGAGCAAACAGG